rnacentral:rRNA from 1 species
GGUUCAUUCAAAUUUCUUCCCUAUCAACUUUCGAUUGUUGGGUAUUGGCCAACAAUGGUGACAACGGGUAACGGAGGGUUAGGGCUCGACCCCGGAGAAGGAGCCUGAGAAACGGCUACUACAUCCAAGGAAGGCAGCAGGCGCGCAAAUUACCCAAUCCCGACCGGGGAGGUAGUGACGAACAAUACUGAUACAGGGCCCUUUUGGGUCUUGUAAUUGGAAUGAGUACAAUUUAAAUCCCUUAACGAGGAACAAUUGGAGGGCAAGUCUGGUGCCAGCAGCCGCGGUAAUUCCAGCUCCAAUAGCGUAUAUUAAAGUUGUUGUGGUUAAAAAGCUCGUAGUUG